GACGAACGCUGGCGGCGUGCUUAACACAUGCAAGUCGAACGGAAAGGCCCUGCUUUUGUGGGGUGCUCGAGUGGCGAACGGGUGAGUAACACGUGAGUAACCUGCCCUUGACUUUGGGAUAACUUCAGGAAACUGGGGCUAAUACCGGAUAGGAGCUCCUGCUGCAUGGUGGGGGUUGGAAAGUUUCGGCGGUUGGGGAUGGACUCGCGGCUUAUCAGCUUGUUGGUGGGGUAGUGGCUUACCAAGGCUUUGACGGGUAGCCGGCCUGAGAGGGUGACCGGCGACAUUGGGACUGAGAGACGGACCAGACUCCUACGGGAGGCAGAAGUGGGGAAUAUUGCACAAUGGGCGGAAGCCUGAUGCAGCAACGCCGCGUGCGGGAUGACGGCCUUCGGGUUGUAAACCGCUUUCGCCUGUGACGAAGCGUGAGUGACGGUAAUGGGUAAAGAAGCACCGGCUAACUACGUG
rnacentral:rRNA from 1 species